rnacentral:rRNA from 1 species
CCUACGGGGGGCUGCAGUAGGGAAUCUUCCACAAUGGGCGAAAGCCUGAUCGAGCAACGCCGCGUGGGUGAAGAAGGUCUUCGGAUCGUAAAACCCUGUUGUUAGAGAAGAAAGUGCGUGAGGGUAACUGUGCACGUUUCGACGGUAUCUAACCAGAAAGCCACGGCUAACUACGUGCCAGCAGCCGCGGGAAUACGUUGGUGGCAAGCGUUAUCCGGAUUUGUUGGGCGUAAAGGGAACGCAGGCGGGCUUUUAAGUCUGAUGUGAAAGCCUUCGGCUUAACCGGAGUAGUGCAUUGGAAACUGGGAUACUUGAGUGCAGGAGAGGCGAGUGGAACUCCAUGUGUAGCGGUGAAAUGCGUAGAUAUAUGGAAGAACACCAGUGGCGAAGGCGGCUCUCUGGUCUGUAACUGACGCUGAGGUUCGAAAGCGUGGGUAGCAAACAGGAUUAGAUACCCUUGUAGUC